AACGACGCUGGCGGCAGGCUUAACACAUGCAAGUCGAACGCUCGUAGCAAUACGGGAGUGGCGGACGGGUGAGUAACGCGUGGGAACGUGCCCUGAGGUACGGAAUAACUGCGGGAAACUGCAGCUAAUACCGUAUGAGCCCCGUGAGGGGGAAAGAUUUAUCGCCUUAGGAGCGGCCCGCGUCGGAUUAGCUAGUUGGUGGGGUAACGGCUUACCAAGGCUUCGAUCCGUAGCUGGUCUGAGAGGACGAUCAGCCACACUGGGACUGAGACACGGCCCAGACUCCUACGGGAGGCAGCAGUGGGGAAUCUUGCGCAAUGGGGGCAACCCUGACGCAGCCAUGCCGCGUGAAUGAUGAAGGCCUUAGGGUUGUAAAGUUCUUUUGCCCGUGACGAUGAUGACGGUAACGGGAGAAUAAGCUCCGGCUAACUUCGUG
rnacentral:rRNA from 1 species